rnacentral:tRNA from 1 species
AGCCUUAUAGUCAAAUAUGAUUUUAAAUUGCAAAUUUAAAGGUAAAUUAAAUUUUAAGGCUU